AUGUGUGUAAGGAGAAAGCUAACUUCCUGGAGAAGGCCAGACAGAGGAACGAGAAGAACAAACUGGAUGUGGAGCGCUGUGAAGAAGAGACACUUGGACAGGAUCCAGAUGCUAGAGAAGAAGAAACCCUGGGCAACUGCUGGUAUCAAGCAUGCAUCUAAGCAGAAACACGAUCAGCUUGAACUGAGGAAUAAAGAGGUUUGUUCUGAAACCACUUACAAAACAUUUAAAAAUAGCGCUGUGUAACACUAUUAAAGACCAUAUCUUUAAUAACUCUGACUGAUUGGUGUGCUUCAAAUCCUAGACAGGACCUGAGUCUGAGGCAGACACAUGCAGCUCAUGAUCAAAGACCUGCAGAAGGAGGACGUCACGCCUCAGACCGAGACUGUUAACACAGCGCUGAAGAACAUCCAGGAAGAAAAAGCCAAACUGGAGGGUGAGAGUUUGGACCUGCGCAGAGACAAAGACGAAGCCUCUGGCCAAGUACUCCGUAAUGUUUAAGAUGACUUUAGUAGCAGAAAAAUAUACAAAUGCAAUAUUUGUUAUUUUGACUGAACUCAGGACUGCUGGUGAUGCUUAAAAGUUGUUGAUUAAAUUUGUAAUAAAUAUAUAUAUUUUUAGCGUUUCGCAAACUUAUACAUUUGUUUAUCAUUUCGUAACAGUUUAAAAUGUUUUAUUAGUUACAUAAUAUUAAUUACGUUUCAUGCAGCAGUCACUACUGACUGACUCUCUGCAGUCAUUCGUUGUGUAAUGUCUGGAUAAAGCACAACAGUCUCAUAUAAAAACAUUCUACUGCAGCGUUUUUGAGAUAUGGGACAUUAUUACACUUUAGAGGGCUAUAAAGACCCCACUUCUAAUAAGCAGAGAAAAACAAUGAUCGGUUCUUGUAGGGGAACCAUUUUACUUUUUAGGAUUUUAGAGAAAUACACCAUUAUUUUACUUCAGAGGCUUAUAGAGAGGUGUAAUCAAUUACAAAAAAAAAAAAAACCUUAAAAAGGCUGAUUCUUGUUAUCUCACAUCUUCAGUGCGUAAAUCAAAGGAAACCAUUUUACUGUAUCAUUAAGGAGCAUUCAAUUAUUUCAAUCAUAUAGAGUUAUUAAACUGUACAUUCAUGCAUUCAGAGUAAAAAACUGACCAUUUCUAAUAAGGGACCUCCCAUAAUGUGUGCACCCUUUAUUUAAAGAAAUUUUACUGUAGCAACUUGGAGUUGCAUGCAUUCAAAGUCAAUAAAAUUCUCAGGCAUUGCACAACUUCUCCAGUGUAAUACUGUUAUAUACUUAUGUUAUUAGAGAGUCUAAUAGCAACGGUAAGUCAUUCCAGAGUCUGGGCAGAGCUCAGAAAGCUCUUGUACUUUGAUCUAGGAAUAACCAACAGUCUCUGGUUGGAUGAUGCUCAGUCAGUAAUUCAGAGAGGAAUGAUGGAGCCAAACUAUUUAAAGAUUUCUAAAUGUGAAGUCAGGAGUCAUUUUGAACUAAUUGGGACAAAGCUGAAUAGCUAAAUCCCAACAUAAGGCAAGGCAAAGCAAGUUUAUUUAUAUGGCACAUUUAGUAUACAAUGGUAAUUCAAAGUGCUUUGCAUAAAAGAAAGUAAAAUAAGCAUAAAAAAUAAUAAUAAUAAUAAUCACAAAAAUAAAAUACGGAAUUUAAAAACUUUUAAAAAUUGAUUUAAAAAUAAUUUAAGACAGUGUAAUCAUUUCGGGUUGUAUAUAAUACAGUGCAAUCAGUUCUGACAUCGCACAGUGCUCAUUCAAUAAAUGCACAGCUAAACAGAUUAGUUUUUAAUUCUGGAUUUAAAAGUGGCUAAUGUUUUAGCACAUCUGAUCUCUUCUGGAAGUUGAUUCCAACUGCAGGCGGCAUAAUAACUAAAAGCGGACUCCCCUUGUUUUGUGUGAAAUAUUCAGUGAGCUUAUCUGCAAUGUAUUUAGGUCCUAGGCCAUUGAGUGAUUUAUAAACGAGUAAAAGUACUUUAAAAUCAAUCCUAAAUGUAACUGGAAGCCAGUGUAAGGACCUGAGGACUGGUGUGAUAUGCUCAGAUUUUCUGGUUCUAGUCAGAAUCCUGGCAGCAGCGUUCUGGAUGAGCUGCAGCUGUCUAAUGGUCUUCUUGUGAAGGCCGGUGAGGAGACCAGUACAGUAGUCCACCCUGCUGGUGAUAAAGACAAGAACAAGUUUCUCCAAGUCUUGACUGGAAACAAAACAUCUAAUUCUUGCAAUGUUUUUUAGAUGAUAGUAUGCUGAUUUAGUCACUGCUUUCAGAAUCAGAAUCAGAAUGAGCUUCAUUGCCAGGUAUGUUUACACAUACAAGGAAUUUGUUUUCGUGACAGAAGCUCCGCAGUGCAACAGAAUGACAGCGACAGAACAAAAAACACACAAUAAAAGAAUUUUAAAAAAUACAAAAAAUACAAAUAAGUAGGUAAGGAAUGACAAUAUACAAACUGACAAUUGUAUGGCAGAUAUAUUACAAUGAGCAGUUAUGUAUGUACAGGUAUAUUAUGUGCAAAAAAAAAAUAAUUUAAGUGUACACUAAGUAUGUAUGUUAGAUAAUAAGUGUAUGUGUCUGUAAAUAUAAAUAGUGUAAUGUGUUCCACAGUUAUUAUCAAGUGUUCAUUAGAUGCAUUGCCUGGGGGAAGAAACUGUUCCUGUGUCUGGUCGUUCUGGUGCUCAGUGCUCUGUAGCAUCGACCAGAUGGCAACAGUUCAAACAGGGAGUGUGCUGGAUGUGAGGGGUCCAGAGUGAUUUUGCCAGCCUUUUUGCUUACUCUGGAUAAGUACAGUUCUUGAAUAGAUGGGAGGGUUGUACCGAUGAUUCUCUCAGCAGUCCGGACUACCCUCUGUAGUCUUCUCAGGACAGAUUUGGUAGCUGAGCUGAACCAGACAGUUACUGAAGUGCAGAGAAUGGAUUCAAUGAUGGUGGAGUAGAACUGUU
ensembl:lncRNA